rnacentral:rRNA from 1 species
CGGAGGGUGCGAGCGUUAAUCGGAAUUACUGGGCGUAAAGCGUGCGCAGGCGGUUUUGUAAGCCAGAUGUGAAAUCCCCGGGCUCAACCUGGGAAUGGCAUUUGGGACUGCAAGGCUGGAGUGUGGCAGAGGAGACUGGAAUUCCUGGUGUAGCAGUGAAAUGCGUAGAUAUCAGGAGGAAUACCGAUGGCGAAGGCAGGUCUCUGGGCUAACACUGACGCUCAUGCACGAAAGCGUGGGGAGCAAACAGGAUUAGAUACCCUGGUAGUCCACGCCCUAAACGAUGUCGACUGGUUGUUGGGGGUUUGACACUCUCAGUAACGAAGCUAACGCGUGAAGUCGACCGCCUGGGGAGUACGGCCGCAAGGUUA